GACCUCUGCCUUAUUCGCCCAAGACUGCAAGGGCCGGCCCACCGUCUCUUAGCCGGGGUCCAGGAUAACUGCUGUCCUUUCAAGGCCUGGCGGAACCGUACACCGCGUGGGCAAUACACGCACGGUUACACGCGAGGUUCAUAGCUCAGACCUGUAGCCUCUGUUAAGCUCUCAAAAUAGAUGGCAACGCCGUGAAAAAGUUAAACUCCGUGUUAAAGGCAGCGGGACACGCACGACGUUGAUUGUUUGGAGGAGAUCUCUGCUCCUGCAUCCCGACCCUCGCGUGGGACACGACCUGUGAGCAAAAAGCCAGGCCCCCGCAAAAAAUGAGAAGAGCAAAUACUCUCCUAGAAGCUCACCUAGAAGCUGGUUUACAUUUCAUCUUUCCUCCAGGAGCUCAAUAAGAGUAAAUGCAGAUGAAGAGAUGGAUGGAUAGAAGGAUAGAAGAACGGAUGGACAAAGAGACAGAACACCAUACUGGCCAAAUUAUGUAGAAACCUCAAAUGAAGAAACAUACCAUCUAUAUUAGCUGAGAAAGCAUGGCCAAUGUUCAGAAUUUCUUCUCAACAGCCAUAUUUCCCUACCUUAUCUUAGCAACUAUUUAUUUCUGCUCUUCAAUUGUGUGUGUGUGUGUGUGUGUGUGUGUGUGUGUGUGUGUGUGUGUGUGUUUAGGAGGACUAUCACUUUCAUCCUAUGGAUAGAGAAAACUAAAGAACUAGCGUGGUUUUGUAGACUGGGUUUGCUCUGUCUACUAAAUUAAAGGUAGAAGUUUCUUUAAAGCUAAUGCUAUUUAUUUCUAGGAAUGCAGCCUAUUUUAUAUAUUUGCUAUUUGAUCUCUAGUAACAAGUUUCUUGGAUGGCCUCUGUUAUAUGUUAAUACAGAUCUCAGUUCGGGGAAUGUAUUGAAAACAGUUUUGUUCAUGAGAACCAGGAAGUGUUAGCUUGAUGGUUUAUUUACUGUAAGGUUAAAGACUCUUUCAGGAUAAUGAAUAAACUCUUCAGAGAGAACAUUUCCCCAAUAGCUUAGUUAGUAUUAAGCAUCUUCAACAACCAUAGAAUCUUCAUUGACAGUUGUAUAGUAGUAAAGAAAUGGGAGAGCUGAAAUUCUAAAAAGGAAGGGCUCUAUGAUACAUUUUUUUCUGUUCCCACUUCUUUUUUAACAGUGGAUAUUCCUUUCUCUUUGCAGCAAAAUGUAGUAAGCAAUAUAAUCUGAAGAAAUUAUAUUUGCCUUCAAAUAUGUGGUUCUCCUCAAGGCCCAAGAAUUUUCUUUUAUCCUUUGUACAUUGAGAACAUCUUGACAGCAAAAUCCAAUCCCUCUCACCUCAGUUAACCCAUCUCUGUUUGCUUUAGAUGGGGAAAUUCCAAUUUUCCUCAACCUGGCACCAGGCCAGAAGAGUAGGACUACGGUUCCCAUUACUCCCAGCCACUGUUAUCAUUUAGGAAAGGGGUAGUCCAGGACAUAAGGGGAACCACUAGGGAAGGAAAGGCUGCCUUAUUCAUGUUUAUUCAGAAAUGAAGCCCCUCUGUAUAAAUCAGGAUUAACCUCCAGGUGAAGCACUCAUAGAAUAAAAGUUUUGAUUGCUUAUAGUUACAGAGUUUUAGCCUAGAAGGCUGACUUUAAAUUAAAUUCGGCAGUAACCUGCAUUUAACAAAAUUAAAAGAAAGCUCAUUGCCCGGUUUCUUGUUUUAAUUAAACACACAUUCAGUGAGGGAUGUUUAACUGCAAGUUAUGGGACUGUUUUGGCAGGAUCACUGCUCUCAGUAAAGAACUGUACUAUUAUUUUGUUUACUUUCCCCCCCCCAUUUCUAAAUUUUUAUGUUUUCCUUACCUCUCUGUGUGGCUGCUUCAGUUUUGGCAAUCGGAUUUAUGGCAAAAAGGAACUGGAAGAGUUAGCUUUUUUGCUUUCAAAGAAGUUCUCUAACAUAGGUCAUACUCUUUUCCUUCUUCCUUUUCAUAUAACAAUCAGAAAAGAUACAUAAAUGGAAACAAGAUCAUUAAUGAUGGUCAAGUUGAAGCUUGCUAAUACCUGCCAUAUUUUUUUUAAUCUUUAGAUUUUUACCUUGCCUUCUUUCCAGGAACUCAAGGCCAUCUAUUGGGUGAUCGCAGGGAAACUCAAAAGAAUCAAGAUCGUGGCUACAACCACACAAUCAAAGCCUCAUUUUGAUGCACAUAAUUUAGCAGCAGACUAUUUGCAUAAUUGUGGACAUCAUCUUGACUUUUUUGACCUUCCUGCAAGCAUUCCUCACUAUGUACCAAUAAAAAACAGUGUAAGAUAGGUUAGAUGGGGAAAUAGUCACUGGCCCAAAAAGUCACUUGUCCAUUAAAAUUCCAUGGCUAUAGCUGGAAUUUGUAGAUACAGUAAGUCUUUCCAAUCUUAUUUCAUCCUUUUUCACUGAAACUUCCUAAAUGCUCUUCAGCAUUGUUUGACAUUGCUUAAAAACCUCUGCCUGCUCUCCCUAUACCAUAAUUAAGAAAGUUGCCAACCUGGUAUUCUUCAGAUGUGUCAUACAAUUUCCAUAACCUAUAAACCAGCAUGAUUGCAAAUCAGAUAGGUUGGGCAAUGUGGAAAUUGAAGCACUACAUCUGGAGGAUCCUUAAAGGAAGACUGAUAGUAAGAUCUUUUAUUAAUAUUAUAAAUUACAUUCUCUUUGAAUAACUUGCUAGUUUAUCCACUCACAGCAAAGAGAUGCAAAGCCCAAAAAUGGGCAGAGAUGGAAUCUAGGUGGGUGAGUCUAGCUCUGCAUAUGUCAACUAGUCACCAUCUCCCAAGAUGGAAAAUAUUUAGUGGUAGAUUAUAUACUCUGCAUGUAAAAGAGCCCAGUUUCACUCUUUGAAAUAUGUAAGCCUGCAAAAAGUUGAAAGAUAAAGUGAGAUAAAGUCAGAUGAUGCAAUGAACUCAAUAAAAGGAAGUUAUCUGUCUGUCUUUCCACUACUACUACCUCUGUUUUAUGGAUUUUUAAAGGAUGUGAAUGAAAUGGGAGCCAGAAGCCUCUAAAACGAAAAUCUCCUCUAUUUAUACAAUUAAAAUUUCUUAAAAUACUGAAAAAAUCCUGAAAUCAUGUCACUAAAAUUUCUUAGGGGAAUGAGCUUCGUUUUAGCGCUGCAAUUUGGGACCAGGAGUGAGAGAGGCAUUUAAGGAAGGAAAUGGGAGUGACUUGUUUCCAAGGUGGCACAGUGGUUAGAAUGUAGUAUUGCAGGCAAAUUCUGCCCACUUCGAGGAGUUUGAUCCUGACUGGCUCAAGAUUGAGUCAGCCUCUGAUCCUUCCGAGGUCGAUAAAAUGAGGACCCAGAUUGUUGGAGGGAAUAUGCUGACUCUGUAAACCACUUGGAGAGUGCUAUAAAAAGGCUAUGAAGCAGUGUAUAAGUUUAAGUGCUCUUGCUAUUGUCUUCUAGAAUCUCUAUUCUCACCUUAUUUGAAGGAAAAGAUGGUGAAACUGCAGUCUGAAAAACAGCCAUUUUGAACCAAUUUUUGAGCUAGUGGGAAGCCAUAUAUAGCCUGUAUAGUCUUUUCUAAGUCCUAAGGCUUAAAGGAUAUUUGUUAUCAGUACAAUCAGUAAGUGAUAUUUCAUUCCAUCUUUUCUAUCCUGGUCAUGGAUUUCCUCCUUCCAUUUAUACUCUUGUUUUCUUCAGAUCAUAUUAAUCUUUACAUUAUGUUCAGCUACAAUUUUGCAAUUUUACAAGGAAAAAAUACUCUUUUUUUUAAAAAAAAUCUGUGCAUAAGGCAUCUUUGGUUGGCAUUUAUUUCUGAAUAUGUGGAUGAUGAGUUGUAGAUAAAAAUAGUCAUUUAGUGUAAUUGCCUUGAACUGAGAUUUGCCCAUCAUUUUUUAGUAAUUAGAAAAGACUUCUGGCCCUUUAAUUGAGAGUUUGCAUAGGGUCUAUACUGAGUCACCAAGUCUCUGUAGCAACCUUGCUGUAGCCUCUCUAUUGGCAUUUGCUGACAUGCCACCCACCUUGAACUCCAAAUGCGGAUCCAAAGAUUGCUGAGCUAUGAACACAGUAUUUGUGUAACUCUGCCAGUAUUGUAACCACCCAUAUAACCUCAGGAGAGUCAAAGCAAAACCAUGCUGAAAAGUACAAAAAUAGAUUGAACAUCACCACUGAAGAAGAUGUUCAGGCUAGGUUUCUGAAUCCAGAUCUUUAGGCAUAUGUUUCCUAAACGUCAAGAACUUCUUCCUCCCUUGGCUUCAGGUUCGAAGGUUUUAGCCAUACUUUUGGCACAUGGUAAUAAAAAUAUGAAUACUUUGACAAUUUUACCCAGGAAAUCAAACCCUGCCCAUCAUGCUUCUCUAAAUUAGAAGGUGAAGAUGCAGAAUUAUGGCAACAUGACUUUAUUACA